rnacentral:rRNA from 1 species
AUUGAACGCUGGCGGCAUGCCUUACACAUGCAAGUCGAACGGCAGCACGGGUGCUUGCACCUGGUGGCGAGUGGCGAACGGGUGAGUAAUACAUCGGAACAUGUCCUGUAGUGGGGGAUAGCCCGGCGAAAGCCGGAUUAAUACCGCAUACGAUCCACGGAUGAAAGCGGGGGACCUUCGGGCCUCACGCUAUAGGGUUGGCCGAUGGCUGAUUAGCUAGUUGGUGGGGUAAAGGCCUACCAAGGCGACGAUCAGUAGCUGGUCUGAGAGGACGACCAGCCACACUGGAACUGAGACACGGCCCAGACUCCUACGGGAGGCAGCAGUGGGGAAUUUUGGACAAUGGGCGAAAGCCUGAUCCAGCAAUGCCGCGUGUGUGAAGAAGGCCUUCGGGUUGUAAAGCACUUUUGUCCGGAAAGAAAUCCUUGGCUCUAAUACAGUCGGGGGAUGACGGUACCGGAAGAAUAAGCACCGGCUAACUACGUG